rnacentral:lncRNA from 1 species
CUGCUACAACAAAUGACAGGUUAACGAGAGGAAAGCAUUCCAAAUUUAUUUAAUCAUAAUUUUACAUGACACAAGAACCUUCAGAACAAAGGCCCAAAGAUACAGAGAAAACCGCCGAUUUUUAUGCUUAGAUUUGAUGAAGAGUGGAUAGCUGUGUAGAAAUCUGAUUGGACAAAGAGGGUAUGAUCUAAUAGUAGUAUACUGAGUGGGAAAACCCAGCAAGGCCUGUCUGUUUGGAUUUUUCUUGGCUUCUUUGUGUAACAUUCUUUCCUCCUGGGUAUGGAUCAGUAUCCUUUCUGGAAUGGGGCUCUCAUAACCUACUGUUCAACAAGCUACUCUUUAGAGGUAUGAUGGAUCUCCCCACAAAGUCUGGUUCAGGUGUCAAGACCUACACACCAAGAAACGAUGAGAAGAAUUAUCAUUCACAUGAGACUUUCUGGGGCAAGCAGAGUGGCUACCAAACAGGUCUUAAAAUGGCUUGAGAAAUCCAGCCAAUAUUGGUGAGUUGUAUUUUUGUGCCAUUUUUUUCAAAUUAAAUUUAUUCAUAUGAAGUUGUUCAUAAUAUUCUCCUG